UGGUUCUGGCAUCGAUGAAGAACGCAGCGAAAUGCGAUAAGUAAUGCGAAUUGCAGAAUUCAGUGAAUCAUCGAAUCUUUGAACGCACAUUGCGCCCCCCGGCACUCCGGGGGGCAUGCCUGUCCGAGCGUCAUUGCACCUCUCAAGCCCCGGGCUUGGUUUUGGGCGCCGCCCCCCGUCCCGGGGGCGCGCCUCGAAAGAAGUGGCGGUCCGGGGCGCCCUCCAGCGCGGUAGCCCGUAUUUCGCUCGGAGGUUCGCGCCGGGCCCGCCAGGCAACCGCUCCCCCCCCGAUGGACCUCGGAUCAGGUAGGGAUACCCGCUGA
rnacentral:misc_RNA from 1 species